GAUGAACGCUGGCGGCGUGCCUAAUACAUGCAAGUCGAGCGAACGGACGAGAAGCUUGCUUUUCUGAUGUUAGCGGCGGACGGGUGAGUAACACGUGGAUAACCUACCUAUAAGACUGGGAUAACUUCGGGAAACCGGAGCUAAUACCGGAUAAUAUUUUGAACCGCAUGGUUCAAAAGUGAAAGACGGUCUUGCUGUCACUUAUAGAUGGAUCCGCGCUGCAUUAGCUAGUUGGUAAGGUAACGGCUUACCAAGGCAACGAUGCAUAGCCGACCUGAGAGGGUGAUCGGCCACACUGGAACUGAGACACGGUCCAGACUCCUACGGGAGGCAGCAGUAGGGAAUCUUCCGCAAAGGGCGAAAGCCUGACGGAGCAACGCCGCGUGAGUGAUGAAGGUCUUCGGAUCGUAAAACUCUGUUAUUAGGGAAGAACAUAUGUGUAAGUAACUGUGCACAUCUUGACGUUACCUAAUCAGAAAGCCACGGCUAACUACGUG
rnacentral:rRNA from 1 species